ACAUCCAGAGAAUUUAGCAGAGAUGCUUUAGUGCCUUCGGGAACUCUGAGACAGGUGCUGCAUGGCUGUCGUCAGCUCGUGUUGUGAAAUGUUGGGUUAAGUCCCGNAACGAGCGCAACCCUUUAUCCUUUGUUGCCAGCACGUAAUGGUGGGAACUCAAAGGAGACUGCCGGUGAUAAACCGGAGGAAGGUGGGGAUGACGUCAAGUCAUCAUGGCCCUUACGAGUAGGGCUACACACGUGCUACAAUGGCGUAUACAAAGAGAAGCGACCUCGCGAGAGCAAGCGGACCUCAUAAAGUGCGUCGUAGUCCGGAUUGGAGUCUGCAACUCGACUCCAUGAAGUCGGAAUCGCUAGUAAUCGUAAAUCAGAAUGUUACGGUGAAUACGCUCCCGGGCCUUGUACACACCGCCCGUCACACCAUGGGAGUGGGUUGCAAAAGAAGUAGAUAGCUUAACCUUCGGGAGGGCGUUUACCACUUUGUGAUUCAUGACUGGGGUGAAGUCGUAACAAGGUAAGCGUAGUGCU
rnacentral:rRNA from 1 species